rnacentral:rRNA from 1 species
UGAGGAAUAUUGGUCAAUGGGCGCAAGCCUGAACCAGCCAUGCCGCGUGCAGGAAGACGGUCCUAUGGAUUGUAAACUGCUUUUAUUCGGGGAUAAACCUCUUUACGUGUAGAGAGCUGAAGGUACCGAAAGAAUAAGCACCG